rnacentral:rRNA from 1 species
UACGUAGGGUGCGAGCGUUAAUCGGAAUACUGGGCGUAAAGCGUGCGCAGGCGGUUCGUUGUGUCCGUCGUGAAAGCCCCCGGGCUUAACCUGGGAACUGCGAUGGAAACUAGCGAGCUGGAGUGUGGCAGGAGGGGGGUGGAAUCCGCGUGUAGCAGUGAAAUGCGUAGAGAUGCGGAGGAACACCGAUGGCGAAGGCAGCCCCCUGGGCUAACACUGACGCUCAGGCACGAAAGCGUGGGGAGCAAACAGG